GGCACUUUGGCCGAGUGGUCUAAGGCGCCGUGUUCAGGUGUACUUGCAUAGCGAGUUCCUCUUCGCGGUCUAGUAAUAGGCGAGGGUUCGAAUCCCUCAGGUGUCA